rnacentral:tRNA from 1 species
UCCUCCUUAGGCUCGAGUCGGUAGAGCGACGGACUGUUAAUCCGCAGGUCGCUGGUUCAAGUCCAGCAGGAGGAGCCA